AUGGCCGUGGAUUGCUUCCACCGCGCGUAUGCGCUGGCCAUCGUCAACGCCGUCUGCAUCGGCGGCACGGCCAUGAUCCUCUACGCGCUCGUCAACCUGGCGCGGAAGCCCGACCACAGCAGGGGCUCCAUCAUCGUGCUCACGGUCUUCCUCCUCUUCUGGGUCGGCGUCGGCGCCAGCGUGUACACGGCCUUCUGCGGGGUCCUCUUCCCGUGGUCGGCGCUGCGCCGGUGCCUGGCCUCCACCAGCGGAGCGCUGAUGUACUACUUCCGCCGCACGGGCUGGCUUCACUGCCUGCCGGGCCGGUCCAGGCUACGGCGCCGAAGCGGCAGCAGCGCUCUGCCCCAGUUUCUGGACCAAAUACAGCAGAGUCACAUGCCCGCGCUGGCCAGGGAGCCGCCGGCGCAUGGCGGCGCGAGGGUGGCGACGGCGUAUGACGUCCUGGCGUACGAGCAACCGGAGGGGGGCGGCGCGUCGGAGUGUGCGGUCUGCCUCGGGGAGGUGGAGAAGGGGGACACGAUGAAGCGGCUGCCGGCGUGCCUGCACAUGUUCCACCAGCAGUGCAUCGACCCGUGGCUGCACGAGCACUCCACCUGCCCGGUCUGCCGGUGCAUCGUCUUCGCGCCGUUGCCGGCCCAAAUGGUAUGA
rnacentral:rRNA from 1 species